rnacentral:lncRNA from 1 species
CUUCACAUUGAUGGUACGGCACAAAGUGAUGAUAAAUACUGGCAGGUUCUCUGACGGCAGACAGUUAUAGCAAACAACAGCAUCUAAAACUUGCAAAGAAAUCUCUAUGUCCACAGAUGAUGAAGUCUGAAUACACAAGAUGCAUAUCUUGUGGACCAUGUCAGCUACGUAGUCUUCCAAAUAGCAGCUAUUGAAUUUCACCAGGUUCACUAACACCAAAAGGAACUCUGAAGACAAACCAACAUCCAUCCACUGUAGCACGAAGUCAGCUAACUCUUCUUCUAAGUAAGUGAUGUAUCGUCCAUUCUCUGUUAGAGCCUUAAAAACUUCAAGCCGUUCAUGCAAGUCUUCAUUGGAAGGAUAGUCCUUAAUAACCUUAAAAAAAUGUGCUCUAAGGAUCCCUAAUCUCUCACCCUGUCCUUGAAUGAUUGACUUUAGGAGAUGAAGAACAGCAUGUCUGGCUUCAGCUGGGCGCUCUGGCUGGAGCAUAUCAGCUACCACCUUCCAUAUUGCUUCCACUGCAUGCUCUUCAAUUUUUUUGGUUUUUGCCACUUCACAGAUUUGGCUGAUUGCUCGUAUCCUAUUACUUAAUCCACAUUCUAUGCUCAGUUCCUUGAGUAUUUCUGCAGUGAUGAUGAAUUCCGUUUGCUUGCCCUCUGAUGACUUUGAACUUCCCCGGGAUGUUCCCAGCCCCAAGAGAUUCUUGAACUUCUCCUUCAGCCCCGAAUCCUUGCUUUGAGGCUUUGCCAUAGCUGACAAAAAAGCAGCGCUGAGCCCCCGCCGCAGGCCCAGCCCCGCCGCCCC